rnacentral:antisense_RNA from 1 species
UUGUUCAAUCCUUUCCGGUGUCAGGGAGAGACAAAUAAGGCCUCGUCCAUAUUUUGCCAUAAAAUUAAUCGCUUCAGGGGUGAUCUUCUCGGCCGCCAUGGUCA